rnacentral:rRNA from 1 species
GAUGAACGCUGGCGGCGUGCCUAAUACAUGCAAGUCGAGCGAACGGACGAGAAGCUUGCUUCUCUGAUGUUAGCGGCGGACGGGUGAGUAACACGUGGAUAACCUACCUAUAAGACUGGGAUAACUUCGGGAAACCGUAGCUAAUACCGGAUAAUAUUUUGAACCGCAUGGUUCAAAAGUGAAAGACGGUCUUGCUGUCACUUAUAGAUGGAUCCGCGCUGCAUUAGAUAGUUGGUAAGGUAACGGCUUACCAAGGCAACGAUGCAUAGCCGACCUGAGAGGGUGAUCGGCCACACUGGAACUGAGACACGGUCCAGACUCCUACGGGAGGCAGCAGUAGGGAAUCUUCCGCAAUGGGCGAAAGCCUGACGGAGCAACGCCGCGUGAGUGAUGAAGGUCUUCGGAUCGUAAAACUCUGUUAUUAGGGAAGAACAUAUGCGUAAGUAACUGUGCACAUCUUGACGGUACCUAAUCAGAAAGCCACGGCUAACUACGUG